UGCUGCUGAUUGUGAGUUUAGAGCCC
rnacentral:piRNA from 1 species